rnacentral:rRNA from 1 species
AAUAGAUACCCGGUAGUCCACGCCGUAAACGAUGAGUGCUAAGUGUUAGAGGGUUUCCGCCCUUUAGUGCUGCAGCUAACGCAUUAAGCACUCCGCCUGGGGAGUACGGCCGCAAGGCCGAAACUCAAAGGAAUUGACGGGGGCCCGCACAAGCGGUGGAGCAUGUGGUUUAAUUCGAAGCAACGCGAAGAACCUUACCAGGUCUUGACAUCCUCUGCCAACCCUAGAGAUAGGGCGUUCCCCUUCGGGGGACAGAGUGACAGGUGGUGCAUGGUUGUCGUCAGCUCGUGUCGUGAGAUGUUGGGUUAAGUCCCGCAACGAGCGCAACCCUUGAUCUUAGUUGCCAGCAUUUCAGUUGGGCACUCUAAGGUGACUGCCGGUGACAAACCGGAGGAAGGUGGGGAUGACGUCAAAUCAUCAUGCCCCUUAUGACCUGGGCUACACACGUGCUACAAUGGAUGGUACAAAGAGCUGCGAACCCGCGAGGGUAAGCCAAUCUCAUAAAGCCAUUCUCAGUUUGGA